AGAGCGAACGCUGGCGGCAUGCUUAACACAUGCAAGUCGCACGGGCAGGGGCAACCCUGUCAGUGGCGGACGGGUGAGUAACGCGUAGGUAUCUAUCCUUGGGUGGGGGACAACUGUGGGAAACUACAGCUAAUACCGCAUGAUAACUGAGGUUUAAAGGCGCAAGUCGCCUGGGGAGGAGCCUGCGUACGAUUAGCUUGUUGGUGGGGUAAAGGCCUACCAAGGCGACGAUCGUUAGCUGGUCUGAGAGGAUGAUCAGCCACAUUGGGACUGAGACACGGCCCAAACUCCUACGGGAGGCAGCAGUGGGGAAUAUUGGACAAUGGGCGCAAGCCUGAUCCAGCAAUGCCGCGUGUGUGAAGAAGGUCUUCGGAUUGUAAAGCACUUUCGGACGGGGACGAUGAUGACGGUACCCGUAGAAGAAGCCCGGCUAACUUCGUGCCAGCAGCCGC
rnacentral:rRNA from 1 species